CCUACGGGAGGCAGCAGUGAGGAAUUUUCUGCAAUGGGCGAAAGCCUGACAGAGCAAUACCGCGUGAGGGAUGAAGGCCUAUGGGUUGUAAACCUCUUUUCCCAGGGAAGAAGAUCUGACGUUACUUGGGGAAUAAGCAUCGGCUAACCCUGUGCCAGCAGCCGCGGUAAUACAGGGGAUGCAAGUGUUAUCCGGAAUUAUUGGGCGUAAAGCGUCUGCAGGUGGAUUUAUAAGUCUUUUGUUAAAUCUUUGAGCUUAACUCAAAAUCGGCAAAAGAAACUAUUUAUCUUGAGUAUGGUAGAGGUAAAGGGAAUUUCCAGUGGAGCGGUGAAAUGCGUAGAUAUUGGAAAGAACACCAACAGCGAAGGCACUUUACUGGGCCAUUACUGACACUCAGAGACGAAAGCUAGGGGAGCAAACGGGGAUUAGAUACCCCCGGUAGUCCUAGCCGUAAACGAUGGAUACUAGAUGUUGUGUACUUUUCAGUAUGCAGUGUCGUAGCUAACGCGUUAAGUAUCCCGCCUGGGAAGUAUGCUCGCAAGAGUGAAACUCAAAGNUAAGUGACGNGNGAGAGNGACGAGACGACACGAGGAGAG
rnacentral:rRNA from 1 species